UGGGGAAUAUUGGACAAUGGGGGCAACCCUGAUCCAGCAAUGCCGCGUGUGUGAAGAAGGCCUUCGGGUUGUAAAGCACUUUAGUUGGGGAAGAAGAUGAUGUGUUUAAGAGAUGCGUUAUUUGACGGUACCCAAAGAAUAAGCACCGGCUAACUCUGUGCCAGCAGCCGCGGUAAUACAGAGGGUGCGAGCGUUAAUCGGAAUAACUGGGCGUAAAGGGCGCGUAGGUGGUUAGAUAAGUUGGUUGUGAAAUCCCUGGGCUUAACCUAGGAACUGCGACGAAGACUGUCUAGCUGGAGUACGGUAGAGGGUAGUGGAAUUUCCGGUGUAGCAGUGAAAUGCGUAGAUAUCGGAAGGAACAUCAGUGGCGAAGGCGGCUACCUGGACUGAUACUGACACUGAGGCGCGAAAGCGUGGGGAGCAAACAGGAUUAGAUACCCUGGUAGUCCACGCUGUAAACGAUGAGAACUAGAUGUUGGGCAGCUAGUCUGUUUAGUAUCGAAGCUAACGCGAUAAGUUCUCCGCCUGGGGAGUACGGCCGCAAGGUUA
rnacentral:rRNA from 1 species